GACGAACGCUGGCGGCGUGCCUAAUACAUGCAAGUUGAGCGCUGAAGGUUGGUACUUGUACCAACUGGAUGAGCAGCGAACGGGUGAGUAACGCGUGGGGAAUCUGCCUUUGAGCGGGGGACAACAUUUGGAAACGAAUGCUAAUACCGCAUAAAAACUUUAAACACAAGUUUUAAGUUUGAAAGAUGCAAUUGCAUCACUCAAAGAUGAUCCCGCGUUGUAUUAGCUAGUUGGUGAGGUAAAGGCUCACCAAGGCGAUGAUACAUAGCCGACCUGAGAGGGUGAUCGGCCCCAUUGGGACUGAGACACGGCCCAAACUCCUACGGGAGGCAGCCGUAGGGGAUCUUCGGCCAUGGACGGAAGUCUGACCGGGCGACGCCGCGGGAGUGAAGAAGGUUUUCGGAUCGUAAAACUCUGUUGGUAGAGAAGAACGUUGGUGAGAGUGGAAAGCUCAUCAAGUGACGGUAACUACCCAGAAAGGGACGGCUAACUACGUG
rnacentral:rRNA from 1 species